GACUAACGCUGGCGGCGUGCCUAAUACAUGCAAGUCGAACGGGAUUCUUUGAUCAGCUUGCUGAGAGAAGGAUCUAGUGGCGGACGGGUGAGUAACGCGUGGGAAUCUGCCUCUUACUGGGGGAUAACAGUGGGAAACUACUGCUAAUACCGCAUAAGAUCUUCGGAUGAAAGGUGCAACUGCACCGGUAAGAGAUGAGCCCGCGUCCCAUUAGCUAGUUGGUGAGGUAAAGGCUCACCAAGGCGACGAUGGGUAGCCGGCCUGAGAGGGUGAACGGCCACACUGGGACUGAGACACGGCCCAGACUCCUACGGGAGGCAGCAGUAGGGAAUCUUCCGCAAUGGGCGCAAGCCUGACGGAGCGACGCCGCGUGAGUGAUGAAGGCCUUCGGUCGUAAAGCUCUGUUCUUGUAGGACGAAUAAGCCAGGGAGUGGAAAGCCCUGGUGAUGACUGUACUCAAGGAGAAAGCUCCGGCUAACUACGUGCC
rnacentral:rRNA from 1 species